rnacentral:tRNA from 1 species
GGGUAUAGUUCAGUGGUAGAGUACAUGCUUAGCAUGCAUGAAGUCCUGGGUUCAAUUCCCAGUACCUCCA